GUAGUCUCGCACAGAUGCAUAUCAAUAGCGGAGGAAAAGAAACUAACAAGGAUUCCCUUAGUAACGGCGAGUGAAGCGGGAAGAGCUCAAAUUUGAAAUCUUCAAGGUUUUACCUUGACGAAUUGUAGUUUAAAGAAGUGUUUUCUGUUGAAGUUUUGGUAAAAGUUCUUUGGAAUAGGACAUCAUAGAGGGUGAGAAUCCCGUAUUUGACCAUUAUUUUCAGCUGUGUGAUACACUUUCAAAGAGUCGGAUUGUUUGGGAAUGCAGUCCAAAAUGGGUGGUAAAUUUCAUCUAAAGCUAAAUAUUGGCGAGAGACCGAUAGCGAACAAGUACCGUGAGGGAAAGAUGAAAAGAACUUUGAAAAGAGAGUUAAACAGUACGUGAAAUUGUCAAAAGGGAAGCGUUUGACACCAGUGUUGUUUUCUCGAAAAUCAAUUAAAAAUGAGUUAGAUUUUGUAUGUGUAUUGACCUUAACAGCUUGCACUGUACAUUUUUCGUGUCUUUUUUAAUGCACUUUUCGUUUAACAAGUCAACAUCAGUUUCUUUUGUUGUAAAAGGGUCAUUGGAAGGUGGCUUUCUUUUCGGAGAAAGUGUUUAUAGCCUUUGACUCCUGCAAUCGGAGAGACUGAGGAUCUGCAGCGUAGAUCCUUCGGGGUUAGAUACAUUUGUGCUAAGUUAUAGCUUUUUAUAGACAACUUGUUGACUAUGAUUAGUCUUGUAGCUUACUCGCUUAUGCUAUUUUACCUACGCUUAGGAUGUUGAAGAUGUAGCACAUCAU
rnacentral:rRNA from 1 species